rnacentral:rRNA from 1 species
GAUGAACGCUGGCGGCGUGCCUAAUACAUGCAAGUCGAGCGAACGGACGAGAAGCUUGCUUCUCUGAUGUUAGCGGCGGACGGGUGAGUAACACGUGGAUAACCUACCUAUAAGACUGGGAUAACUUCGGGAAACCGUAGCUAAUACCGGAUAAUAUUUUGAACCGCAUGGUUCAAAAGUGAAAGACGGUUUUGCUGUCACUUAUAGAUGGAUCCGCGCUGCAUUAGCUAGUUGGUAAGGUAACGGCUUACCAAGGCAACGAUGCAUAGCCGACCUGAGAGGGUGAUCGGCCACACUGGAACUGAGACACGGUCCAGACUCCUACGGGAGGUAGCAGUAGGGAAUCUUCCGCAAUGGGCGAAAGCCUGACGGAGCAACGCCGCGUGAGUGAUGAAGGUCUUCGGAUCGUAAAACUCUGUUAUUAGGGAAGAACAUAUGUGUAAGUAACUGUGCACAUCUUGACGGUACCUAAUCAGAAAGCCACGGCUAACUACGUG